GAUGAACGCUGGCGGCGUGCCUAAUACAUGCAAGUCGAGCGAAAAGACGAGGCGCUUGCUCCUCUGACGUUAGCGGAGGACGGGUGAGUAACACGUGGAUCACCUACCUAUCAGCGUGGGAUAACUUCGGGAAACCGGAGCUAAUACCGGAUAAUAUAUUGCAGCGCAUGGUUCGAUGGGGAAAGACGGUUUUGGUGUAUCGUCUAGCUGGUUCCGCGCUGCUUUAGCUGGUUGUGACGGUCACGGCUUUCCACGGCAACGAUGCGUAGACGAGCGGAUAGAGGGAUCGGCCACACGAGAACUGAGACGCGCACCAUGCUCCUACGAGAGGCAGCAGUAUGGAAUGUGCCGCAGUGGGGGAAAGCCUUACAGAGCAACGCCACGUCAGUUAUGAAAAUCUUCCGAUCGUAAAACUCUGUUACUAGGUAAGAACAAAUGUGGAAGGAACUGUGCACGGCUUGACGGUACCUAAUCAGAAAGCCACGGCUAACUACGUG
rnacentral:rRNA from 1 species